rnacentral:misc_RNA from 1 species
GAUGAAGAACGUAGCGAAAUGCGAUACGUAAUGUGAAUUGCAAAUUCAGUGAAUCAUCGAAUCUUUGAACGCACAUUGCGCCCUUUGGUAUUCCAAAGGGCAUGCCUGUUCGAGCGUCAUUUGUACCCUCAAGCUUUGCUUGGUGUUGGGCGUCUUGUCUCCAGUCCGCUGGAGACUCGCCUUAAAGUCAUUGGCAGCCGGCCUACUGGUUUCGGAGCGCAGCACAAGUCGCACUCUUUUCCAGCCAAGGUCAGUGUCCAACAAGCCUUUUUUCAACUUUUGACCUCGGAUCAGGUAGGGAUACCCGCUGAACUUAAGCAUAUCAAUAAGCGGAGGA